GGAGGAAGUAGGGGAUCGCAAGACCCCACGUUAUAGGAGCGGCCGAUGUCCGAUUAGCUAGUUGGUGGGGUAAAGGCCUACCAAGGCGACGAUCGGUAGCUGGUCUGAGAGGAUGAUCAGCCACACUGGGACUGAGACACGGCCCAGACUCCUACGGGAGGCAGCAGUGGGGAAUUUUGGACAAUGGGCGAAAGCCUGAUCCAGCCAUGCCGCGUGCGGGAAGAAGGCCUUCGGGUUGUAAACCGCUUUAGUCCGGGAAAAAGGGGUGCGAGGAUAAUACCCUUGUGCUUUGAUGGUACUGGAAGAAUAAGCACCGGCUAACUACGUGCCAGCAGCCGCGGUAAUACGUAGGGUGCGAGCGUUAAUCGGAAUUACUGGGCGUAAAGCGUGCGCAGGCGGUCUUGUAAGACAGUCGUGAAAGCCCCGGGCUUAACCUGGGAACUGCGUUUGAAACUACAAAGCUAG
rnacentral:rRNA from 1 species